CCCCCCCUCUUAGUGCCACUCCGAUCCUAACAAUUGGUAUCAGAGCAAGGCUCACUCUCAUAUUUGGUUUAAUACCCAAGAGAGAUGGCUUACUCCAGCAUGCAUGAGGGUCAUUCUAUCACACGUCCACCCUUGUUUAAUGGGUCGGAUUAUACUUAUUGGAAGACUCGGAUGAGAAUCUUCCUCAUUUCUAUGGAUUUCGAGCUUUGGACUAUUGUUGAAAAUGGAUUUCAA
rnacentral:lncRNA from 1 species